rnacentral:lncRNA from 1 species
CUCGGGCAUAUUACACAUGAGGCACCAAACAAUCCAUCUCUUCUUUAAAGGAUGUGCAAAAUACUUAUGUUUUAAUAUGUCUUUAAGUUCCAGUGGUGAUUUCUAGGACAGAGACAAGAUACUGGAGGCUAUUUCACAUUUUUGUGAGUUAGGUCUCUUCUAACCUUAGAGACCCAGUUAAACCAGCAGCUGAAUUUGCUGGCCUAUAGUAAUGCAUGGGUUCCAUCAUGGCUCCUUAUAAACAUGGAAUAAAUCUGAAAUUCUCUACUGGAAAGAAAUUUAAUAUUUAAAGGUAAUUUGACCUGUACAUGUGUGUACAUGAAUAUUUAAUGAAACCUAUGGCAAAUGUAUUUAUAUAACAUUAAUCUGAAGAUAUUUAUUUCUUGCUCAUUUUCUAGGAUAUUAUUUCCUCAGCAAAUGCGAAGUUGCCUUCUGUACAAAUGCUCAGUUCUAAAGAUUCCUCAGGAAUGUCUUUUGUAACAUCAUCUACGUAUUUAUCCUGGAUCAUACUGCAAUGUGAAAUUACUAUACACUGGAUGACUUAAACGGUAAGCAUUUAUUUCUCUCAGUUCCAGAGGCUGGGAAGUCCAAGAACAAGGAUCUGGUAUAUCUAGGGUGCAGUGGGGACCCCUCUUUUUGGUAGCAGAUAGCUGGUUUCUUGCUGUAUCCUCACAUGGCUGAGAGGGGGAAGUUAGCUCUCAGGCCUUCUCUUAUAAGGUCUCAAACUUAUCAUGGUGGGUGGGAGGGGAUUCCACCCUGUUAACCUCAUCUGAACCUAAUUACUUCCCCCAAGCCCCAUCUCCUAAUACCAUUACUAGGGUCAGGGGUUUCAACAUGUGGAUUUUUUGGGGGACACAAACAUUCAGUCCAUAACAUUGAUGUAUACCUGAUCAUGUUUUAAGACUCAAACUAAAUGUGAUUUUCCCUUUAAAACCUUCCCUGACCACCUCACCACUAUUGUUCUCCCACAUGAUCACCUCCCACUGGAUCACUAUUGUCAAACAUCUGAUACUUGAGUCUUCACUUCCAUUAAAGCAACCUGGACAGACCUGACUAAUUGAUCAUACUACUAUCUCCUGCUGAGUCAGCUCUCUUCUCAAACAGUGCCAGACAUAGCCUCUUCUAACCAACUGGCAUUGGUACAUCCAUAAAAUCUUUUUGCCUUAUCUGCUCCUGACUGUGAUGUCCUUGAUGACAGGCAUAUCUUAUUUGUCUAUGUGCCUUAUGCUCCAGAAAUGCAUAAAAGCAUCUUCUAGAAGGUGCUUCCAGACAGACCAAUGCCUGAUGUAUACAUAAAGCAAUUUAUUCCUACCUAUCAUCUCUAUUUCAUGACAAUGGCUUCUAAUUUUCACUAGCAGAGAACAAGAAAUUUAGCUGAAUAUUGUAAUAGUUUCUCUCCAUUUUUUUCUUCUCAAUCCUGGGUUUUGUUAAGUAUAUGCAUAGCCCAUAGAUUUCCAUCAUAAACUACCAAACUGCAGUU